UACGUAGGGCGCAAGCGUUGUCCGGAAUUACUGGGCGUAAAGCGUGCGCAGGCGGUGAUGUAAGACAGUUGUGAAAUCCCCGGGCUCAACCUGGGAACUGCAUCUGUGACUGCAUCGCUGGAGUACGGUAGAGGGGGAUGGAAUUCCGCGUGUAGCAGUGAAAUGCGUAGAUAUGCGGAGGAACACCGAUGGCGAAGGCAAUCCCCUGGACCUGUACUGACGCUCAUGCACGAAAGCGUGGGGAGCAAACAGG
rnacentral:rRNA from 1 species